rnacentral:lncRNA from 1 species
CUAAAUAAUAAUUAAAUAACUGGACACAAAUAGGUAAGUUCAUUAAAUGAUAAACAUUAAAAGUAGGAUUCAAUUUAAAUAUAUUUAAUUCUUGGUCACAGCUCGGUCACAACAAUAUAUUAAAAUUUUGAUAUAAAACUCUGACUAUAAAUAUUAUGAAUACAACUAAAAAUUAUUCUAAAAUAUAAACUACAAUUUACAGUUUUUCUGUUUGGACGGCUUUGUCUAACUUAAUGCAAUUUACAUCUAUAACAGGACUAUUGACACUAUUUAUGGUAACAUUACAGUUAUUAAAAAUAUAAGUUGACCUAGUUUCAUCUGAUGAACCUAAAACGUCGUUGACAAGGCAGGUUAUUAAAUGAAGCAUUUAUGUUUUCAAUGGACCUAAGAACACCCGCUGAUGGAAUUUUCUUUGAUGUAGAUGGUGCAACAACAAUCUUGGUACAGCUGUAGUUAUAGAAGUUGAUGGUGCGCAGUGGAUCUCUGUCUCUGUAUCAGGAACGAUAUCAAUGGUUUCAGCUUGCUUUGAUUCUUUUGGAAUCUGCUAUGUAACCAGAAGCAACAGUGCUGGACUUCCAUCCAUCAUGUCGUUUUAGCGUAGUCAGGUCAGCACCCGCAUCGACUAACAGAGUUGUUGAGGUUCUCCGGAAGCAGUGUCCAG